UACGUAGGGUGCAAGCGUUGUCCGGAAUUACUGGGCGUAAAGGGCUCGUAGGCGGCCAACUAAGUCGGAUGUGAAAUCCCCAGGCUUAACCUGGGAACUGCAUCCGAUACUGGAUGGCUUGAAUCCGGGAGAGGGAUGCAGAAUUCCAGGUGUAGCGGUGAAAUGCGUAGAUAUCAAGAGGAACACCUGCGGCGAAGGCGGGUUGCUGGGCCGACACUGACGCUGAGGCGCGAAAGCCAGGGGAGCGAACGGG
rnacentral:rRNA from 1 species